rnacentral:misc_RNA from 1 species
GAUGAAGAACGUAGCGAAAUGCGAUACGUAAUGUGAAUUGCAGAAUUCAGUGAAUCAUCGAGUCUUUGAACGCACAUUGCGCCCCCUGGUAUUCCGGGGGGCAUGCCUGUCCGAGCGUCAUUGCUGCCCUCAAGCACGGCUUGUGUGUUGGGCCUCCGUCCUCCUCCCGGGGGACGGGCCCGAAAGGCAGCGGCGGCACCGCGUCCGGUCCUCGAGCGUAUGGGGCUUCGUCACCCGCUCUUGUAGGCCCGGCCGGCGCUUGCCGACACAUCAAUCUUUUUUCCAGGUUGACCUCGGACCAGGUAGGGAUACCCGCUGAACUUAAGCAUAUCAAUAAGCGGAGGA